ensembl:lncRNA
CAACGCAGAAAAAAUGUUAUGUGAUUUGAUUGAGUGCUUAUGACAGAACAGUAUGGAAGAACGAGCGUUCCCUCGUGGAUAGAUAUUGUAGCCUACUGCAGGCAAGAAUAUUUUUGUGACUGAACGGAGAUCUGGAGCGAAGGGGAGUUUGGAAUUUCCAAAGCUCUUGACAGAUCACAUCCUUCCUUUCAAAACCUUUCCAGGACCACCCUCAUACAAUCCACCAGAGGUUGUCAAGGGAGAGCCUCAACAUUACAAACCCAUCUGGUUUCAAAACAUUGUAGCAUAAUGCAAUAUAAUACAUCUGGUCUCUGGGUUGUGUGCUGUGUGAGCUGUGUAUCCCAAAGUAUUCUGUACGUAUUAUAUAAAAUGCCAUAAUUCAUGGGGUUUCAACCAGUGGUCCACUGCCACCCUGGUGGUCUUUGAAGGAAUUGCAGAUGGUCCUUGACCAUGCAUUCAAUUAUGUACUUUCAGUAUGGGAUUCACAAUUUUUUAACAACAGUGGUCCUCAGGUUCUUAAGAAGAAUGGUGGUCCCUGGGGCACAAUCAGUUGAAAGCCCCUGCCAUAAUCAUACACACGUUAUGUGAAAUGUGAAUUGUUUUGCCACUUUAAAGCAAGCUGACACAUAGUUUGACAACUAACAAACAUCUGCACACACAGAUCUGUAUGCCACUUUACAACACACUCACCUGCACAACUGUUGGUCUAAUUUGCUGCUACCACUGCCACUGAAAAUAGCCGAACUUCUGAGUGUGUCCGAUGUGUUUUUGUAAAAAUUGUGUACAGUGUAUGUGUACAGUGGUUUGUAUAGUGUGUUUGGUCCCAAAUGUCUAGGUGAGGAGCUGGGUGUUCAUGGACCACUGGAAGCACUGCUACCUGCCCGACCGCAGCCUAUUCUUAUCUGGUAUUAAGGGUGUCUGAGUAGCAUGAGGCUGAUUCUCCUCACUCAUUCUGCAAUUUUUAAGGGGGAUUUAUGGUCGUCGUUAUCGCCCUUGCGUUAUGUGGCAUGCACCAAAAGUGACAUUAUUCCGCAGCGCGCUGCACUUUGCCUCCCAGUUUUUGUAAUUUGCUGCGCAUGGUGCCUACCGGUGCCCGCCUCUACAGGCAUCUCUAUGACCCAUCAAUGCAAGAGCACAGGGAUUCCCAGAUGGCACAGAACUCGUGGAGGGAGAUCACUGCAACACAUGGAAAAGACCAGAUGUCUGUGUGGUUUACUAACAUUACCGUUGUCUGAUGAAGUUGUCUGAUGAACAAACCAAAAACACGUCCAUAAUGCAGAGGGUGUGUUUUGUUAACGCAACAAUGUUAUGUAGCAGUUUUGCGACUAGUAAUAAACAGAAGC